UCCACCAUUCCCAUAGCUGGAGCCAUUUUAAAGAUGAGCCUUAGGAGAACAAUGUGUUGUUGCAAUUUGGGUGGAUAUGUGACUGAACCCUGUUAAGGCUUCUAUAUAAGCCUUCAAGAUUCCUGGAGAUAAAUGUGGAGAUCUACUUGUUUCCCAGCCACCCAAGACAAGCCUCACAGAUAACUUUCAAACUAACCUGAACACCUACGAAUUCGACCUGAGAUUUAAAGAGAGAACAGCUGGAGAGAACAGAGAGAAACGUUUUCACUUCUAACAAGGGUCAGUCAAGUCUUCUGAGACUGUAACGCCACUACAGCUUGACUGCAGCCUCAUGAAACAUCCUGAGCCAGAACCUCCCAGGACCUGAAAGAUGGCUUGGCCUCUGCCACGUGACACAACCAUCUGUAGCUUGUGCUUUUGGGGACCAGAAUCCUUUUUUCCCCUAAAAUUAUCAGCAUGGCUAUAAUGGCUCAGUAACAAACACAUGUCUUGUAUAACUUUGUGGAGGGAAGAUUUCCAGAAGUCUCUCUCACUGCUUGGAGGCAGCAAAAAGAGAGAGGAUAAGUUGCCAAGAUAUCUCUUCCAACAUAAUGAGCACUAAUUGAAUGUCUUGUAUGAAAAAUGUAUAAAACUAUAAAGACAUCAUCACUUAGAUGACUUGGGCUGCAGCCUGGCCAGAUGCAGUUCUAUGUUUCAGACAUGAUGUCAUAAGCCAGUAAAGAUGUGUUAUAAAUUUUUAAAAAUUGCAUUUGCUUGGACUGGUCAAGUAUUCUAGGGUAAGCCAUCAAGCAAAUGAUGAAGAAAUGCCCCUGUUGCUCCAACAUUCUUUAGUUCUAGUGCACUGUUCCUUUUUUGGUUCUCAUAUAAAUAUAUCCCUCCUUCCAAAAGAGCUGGCCUUUUCUAUCUCCCUUGUCUCCAAUUACAACUUGCUUGUUUACUGUAGGUUAACUCAUUGGGCCCAAGGGUCGAGAAACAGGAAAAGGCAGGGACUUUGCUGUGGGAUCUCCAGGAAUAUCCAGGAAGUUGGGGACAUGGCCAGAAAGGAUUUCAUAAUAGGUUGCAUGAUUUUAUUGAAUUCUUUGGUAAGAAUAAGGGAUAAAGGUGGAAUUUUGGUGAUUUUUGAUGGAAUGAAACACUGUAGUGGUGUUUUAGAAUACCAGGCUGCUGCUCUACUAGUUAAAAUAUCAAUGCUCUAUUAAUUUAUCCCUCUCAUCAAGUUCAGAAAAAUCUAAGUGCAUAAAAAAAGAACAAAGAGAAUGAGAUGAGAAUACAUUUAUUUGAAAUAUAUUGACAAGUAUCUAAUUGACCUCUAAUGCAAUGCUGUUUGGCAAAACACAAAUUAAAGAAUGUAGCUCAAACAUAAAAGGAAUGUCCUGGGAUCUAACCAGUCAAGUUAUCUUCUCUGUUUGAGACAUAUUGGGAAGGGGCAUUUGCAGAUUUAGUUCUAGAACAGAAAGAGAGCUAGAAAUUUUCCUUAUGAGACCCUGCUCUAGUUUGUUUUCUUUCUUAACAGAGAGGCUAGCAUGAAAAUCAAGCAAAGGUAUGGCUGUCCUGGCCUACCUCUGUGAGACUAUUUCCCCAAUAUCAUCCUUUGUUUGCUUUUAACCAUAGAGUCACUGAAGCCGUUGUCUUUGCAACUGACCAGAACAAACAUGAAGCUAACUUUAAGGCUAAACUAUUCACUAGGCCAAAGUUGCACUCUCAGUUCUAUUUACCACCUUAUAUUAAUAGUGAUGAGUCGCCCUCAUCCUAAACCCAGGAUGAGAUUUCAAAUAAAGCCAAUUAAUAAUGAUCCAAAUAUGUAAAUGUUUUAUAAUCUCUUCCUUCCUCUGACCUCUGGUUAUCUAAGAUAAGAGAAACACAAGAUCCAGGGCUUCAGAACACAAGAUCCAGGGCUCUGAGCAAGCGUGCCUGGUCCAGCCCAGGCUUUCACACAUAAG